rnacentral:lncRNA from 1 species
ACUACUAUCAUCAGUUUGUUACUAUUAUCGUCAGUUUGCUACUAGUUAUUUGUAAUAAAUGCCUCAAGAUUAAUAAAGAGUAUUAUUAUUAUUAUGUCUUGUGUGUCUCUACUUUAUUUUUGUGCAAGAAAGCAGAAAACAAGUACGGGGGAGAUCCCUCAACAUGCCAAACACACUCCGACUACACCACUCCACGAGUCAGGUACAAACUCUGCACACUUUACUUUACACAUACACAUAUCUUGGAUUAUGCAGAAUAUUGUUUCCGACAUGAUAAAUCAAUAAGCUUAAAAUGUUUCUAAAUAUGAUUAAUCUUAUUCUGUGAUAUUUCCUGAAACUUGCAAUUAUUAUAAAAUCAUUUUAAAACCCUGUGUUACUUAAGAUAGUAUGGAAUGUGAGAUGGUAGAGUAUGAGUUUCUUAUUCUUGAUAUCAUUGUUACUUGGAGAAUUUAUUUCAAAAUCUUCAAAAUUCUAGCUACCAUCCUCAGUGUUUUAUAUGCCUGAUAAAACUGAAAACAUUAAUUAUGAUUAUAAAAGCUAUCUACUCUGUAUUGAGUUUGUUCAAAAUGAGUUAGACCCUUGUUGAGAGAUUUAUCAUGCUCCUAAGAUCAAGACAUUUAUUCAGAAAGAUUCACUCUUCCGAAGUAUUAUUGCAUUAGAGGCAUGGGCUAUGCAAAAAUAAAGAUAUUUUGAGGAAAUAAAAAGGAGCAAGUGCUCGAUAACCUCGCAGAAAAAUGGACAAGUGUCCAGCAGUAGAAUUAGGGGUACCUCGGUAUCCACUUAAAAAAAGAGAGAAAAAAAAUGAUAGCCCAUGGUCCCUCUAACAAGCAAUAUGCCAGUAAGAGUUGACAAAGAUUUUAAUUUCCAAAGUCUUUGAUCUAAGAGUAUGACAUUCCCCUCCUCGGAUCCCGUUUUGAUCAGGCAAUAAAUGCAAAGUAAGUAUGCUUAGAAUUUUUGCAAAUUAAAACAGCCUCAGUGAGAUAUAUAAAAGAUAAUGAGUGAUAUGAGAGAACCUAUGAGGAUAAAAAGGUAUGCUAACUUUCUUUCAAAAAAUAUACAAAAACUCCAAGUGACAGGAUUGAGAAAAAAGGAUCCUUACUCUUAACCAUAUACCUCCGUGACUAUAGUACACAGUGGAAUUUUAACACCCUGCAGUUAUGAAAAGAAUAUUUUUAAAAUGUUUUACCCCAAAUAUUGUUCUUAACCAUCCUUUUCUCGAGGACGAGU